rnacentral:rRNA from 1 species
AUUGAACGCUGGCGGCAGGCCUAACACAUGCAAGUCGAACGAGAGGCGGACGGGGGAGUAAUGUCUGGGAAACUGCCUGAUGUGGGGGGAUAACUACUGGACAAGGGAGCUAAUAAUGCAUACCAUCGGAAGUACGCAGAUGGGAUUAGUGAGUAGGUGGGGUAAAGGAUCACCUAGGCGACGAUCCAUAGCUGGUCUGAGAGGAGGACCAGCCACACUGGAACUGAGACACGGUCCAGACUCCUACGGGUGGCAGCAGUGGGGAAUAUUGCACAAUGGGCGCAAGCCUGAUGCAGCCAUGCCGCGUGUAUGAAGAAGGCCUUCGGGUUGUAAAGUACUUUCAGCCGGGAGGCGUUACCCGCAGAAGAAGCACCGGCUAACUCCGUGCCAGCAGCCGCGGUAAUUC